AGAGUUUGAUCCUGGCUCAGGAUGAACGCUAGCGACAGGCUUAACACAUGCAAGUCGAGGGGCAGCGGGGGCGAAGCUUGCUUCGCCUGCCGGCGACCGGCGCACGGGUGAGUAACACGUAUGCGACCUGCCCCCCGCAGGGGGAUAACCGGGAGAAAUCCCGACUAAUACCGCGUAACGCCGCUGGGCUGCAUGGCCCGGCGGCCAAAGGAAGCGAUUCCGGCGGGGGAUGGGCAUGCGGCGCAUUAGCUAGUCGGCGGGGUAACGGCCCACCGAGGCGACGAUGCGUAGGGGUUCUGAGAGGAAGGUCCCCCACACUGGUACUGAGACACGGACCAGACUCCUACGGGAGGCAGCAGUGAGGAAUAUUGGUCAGUGGGCGGGAGCCUGAACCAGCCAAGUCGCGUGAGGGAAGACGGUCCUACGGAUUGUAAACCUCUUUUGCCGGGGAGCAACGGGGUCCUUGCGAGGGCCCGAUGAGAGUACCCGGAGAAAAAGCAUCGGCUAACUCCGUGCCAGCAGCCGCGGUAAUACGGAGGAUGCGAGCGUUAUCCGGAUUUAUUGGGUUUAAAGGGUGCGUAGGCGGGCUGUUAAGUCAGCGGUCAAAUGUCGGGGCUCAACCCCGGCCUGCCGUUGAAACUGGCGGCCUCGAGUGGGCGAGAAGUAUGCGGAAUGCGUGGUGUAGCGGUGAAAUGCAUAGAUAUCACGCAGAACUCCGAUUGCGAAGGCAGCAUACCGGCGCCCGACUGACGCUGAGGCACGAAAGCGUGGGUAUCGAACAGGAUUAGAUACCCUGGUAGUCCACGCAGUAAACGAUGAAUGCUAGCUGUCCGGUUCUACGGGACUGGGUGGCACAGCGAAAGCGUUAAGCAUUCCACCUGGGGAGUACGCCGGCAACGGUGAAACUCAAAGGAAUUGACGGGGGCCCGCACAAGCGGAGGAACAUGUGGUUUAAUUCGAUGAUACGCGAGGAACCUUACCCGGGCUCAAACGCCAAAGGACAGCCGUUGAAAGGCGGCCUCCCUCCGGGAUCUUUGGCGAGGUGCUGCAUGGUUGUCGUCAGCUCGUGCCGUGAGGUGUCGGCUUAAGUGCCAUAACGAGCGCAACCCCCAUCGACAGUUGCUAACGGGUAGAGCCGAGGACUCUGUCGAGACUGCCGGCGCAAGCUGCGAGGAAGGCGGGGAUGACGUCAAAUCAGCACGGCCCUUACGUCCGGGGCGACACACGUGUUACAAUGGCCGGUACAGCGGGAUGCCAGGGCGCGAGCCCGAGCGGAACCCGAAAACCGGUCUCAGUUCGGAUUGGAGUCUGCAACCCGACUCCAUGAAGCUGGAUUCGCUAGUAAUCGCGCAUCAGCCACGGCGCGGUGAAUACGUUCCCGGGCCGUGUACACACCGCCCGUCA
rnacentral:rRNA from 1 species